rnacentral:rRNA from 1 species
UACGGAGGGGGCUAGCGUUGCUCGGAAUCACUGGGCGUAAAGCGCACGUAGGCGGAUCUUUAAGUCAGGGGUGAAAUCCUGGAGCUCAACUCCAGAACUGCCUUUGAUACUGAGGAUCUCGAGUCCGGAAGAGGUGAGUGGAACUCCGAGUGUAGAGGUGAAAUUCGUAGAUAUUCGGAAGAACACCAGUGGCGAAGGCGGCUCACUGGUCCGGUACUGACGCUGAGGUGCGAAAGCGUGGGGAGCAAACAGG